GGAGGGUAUAGCUCAGUGGUAGAGUGCGUGCUUAGCAUGCAUGAGGUCCUGGGUUCAAUCCCCAGUGCCUCCA
rnacentral:tRNA from 1 species